CCAGCAGCACCACGCGGUAGAGGGCCUCCCAGGAGCCCUCCGAGUCGCUGGAUUCAGAGGACCAGCCGUCGGGGGCAGGCAUGUAGGAGGAGGAAAGACACACUGUGGUCUUGGUUAUGGAAGAGAAGUUGGCUGUAGUGGCCUCCCCGAAGCCCUGUGGCCAUGACACAGCUGCUUCUGCUCAUUGUGUUUCUCCUGGUCCUGGGUCAUGUGCCUCCAGGGAGAAGCGAAUUCAAACGGUGCUGGAAUGGCCAGGGAGCCUGCCGGACUUACUGCACCAAGUAUGAAACCUUCAUGCACCUGUGCCCAGAUGCCUCCCUGUGCUGUAUCCCCUAUGGACUCAAGCCUCCAGUGCCCCAUAAGCCAGAGAAUGUGUAGCUGGUUCUGAGGCUGGCACACUUGCUCUUCAUAAAAUACAUGCUGCCCAUCGUC